rnacentral:miRNA from 1 species
UGAUGAUGAUGAUGAUGAUGAUGAUGAUGAUGAUGACAAUGAUGGCAUUGAUUAUGGUGUCUAUGCUCUUUCUUCUUUUUCAUUAUCAUCGUCAUCAUCAUCUAGACAG